UGAAUUUUUGGGGUAUUUAGAGAAAUGGAAAACUAGGGUUUGAAAAUUGGAGAUUUUGGGGUUUAAGGGUUUUGAACCUAAUUGAUAUCCUAAUUCUCUAAUAUUUGAAGGAUAGAGGAGAGCCCUAGACAACUCUAGGUUGGAAUUCGGUAAGCGUUCGGUGGUCGAUUGCGAGUUCGAGCCGAACCGGGCGACGUGUGCCGCGGGAGCCCGAUUGCAAGUGUCUACAAGCAAUCGGAAGCAAUGCGAGAUGGGUUGUGCUUCACCAAAGUGAUUAGGUCACUUCCAUGCCAAAGAGUGAAGUAUGUUUUUGAUAUUGUUGUUGAUGCAUGUAAUGAUAGUUUAAUUGUAAUUGUGGAUGCAUGAGAUAUAGGGUAAAUUG
rnacentral:lncRNA from 1 species